CGAACGAUGAACCUCCUUCGGGAGGGGAUUAGUGGCGAACGGGUGAGUAACACGUGGGCAAUCUGCCCUGCACUCUGGGACAAGCCCUGGAAACGGGGUCUAAUACCGGAUACGACACUCUCGGGCAUCCGAUGAGUGUGGAAAGCUCCGGCGGUGCAGGAUGAGCCCGCGGCCUAUCAGCUUGUUGGUGAGGUAAUGGCUCACCAAGGCGACGACGGGUAGCCGGCCUGAGAGGGCGACCGGCCACACUGGGACUGAGACACGGCCCAGACUCCUACGGGAGGCAGCAGUGGGGAAUAUUGCACAAUGGGCGAAAGCCUGAUGCAGCGACGCCGCGUGAGGGAUGACGGCCUUCGGGUUGUAAACCUCUUUCAGCAGGGAAGAAGCGAAAGUGACGGUACCUGCAGAAGAAGCGCCGGCUAACUACGUGCCAGCAGCCGCGGUAAUACGUAGGGCGCAAGCGUUGUCCGGAAUUAUUGGGCGUAAAGAGCUCGUAGGCGGCUUGUCGCGUCGGUUGUGAAAGCCCGGGGCUUAACCCCGGGUCUGCAGUCGAUACGGGCAGGCUAGAGUUCGGUAGGGGAGAUCGGAAUUCCUGGUGUAGCGGUGAAAUGCGCAGAUAUCAGGAGGAACACCGGUGGCGAAGGCGGAUCUCUGGGCCGAUACUGACGCUGAGGAGCGAAAGCGUGGGGAGCGAACAGGAUUAGAUACCCUGGUAGUCCACGCCGUAAACGGUGGGCACUAGGUGUGGGCGACAUUCCACGUCGUCCGUGCCGCAGCUAACGCAUUAAGUGCCCCGCCUGGGGAGUAC
rnacentral:rRNA from 1 species